rnacentral:hammerhead_ribozyme from 1 species
AUCCAUCUGACAAGUCCCAAAUAGGACGAAACGAGCUUCAAACUGGAU